UACGUAGGGUGCAAGCGUUGCCCGGAUUUAUUGGGCGUAAAGGGCGCGUAGGCGGCUCGGCACGUCCGUUGUGAAAUCGCUCGGCUCAACUGGGCGGGGUCAGCGGAUACGGUGUGGCUAGAGCAAGCUAGGGGGCAAUGGAAUUCCCGGUGUAGUGGUGGAAUGCGUAGAUAUCGGGAGGAACACCAGUGGCGAAGGCGGUUGCCUGGAGCUUUGCUGACGCUGAUGCGCGAAAGCGUGGGGAGCGAUCCGG
rnacentral:rRNA from 1 species